rnacentral:lncRNA from 1 species
GAUCGGAAGAGGCUCGUGUAGGGAAAGAGGGAGCCUGAAUUAGCGCUGGGGUCAGAUGGACCCUGGUUUAUUAGAAAAAGAAAAGCAUGUGGAGUCCUUGUCUUUAGAGGAAGGCCCCCUGCAUGCUGGUUGACUUGCAGCAGAACUGGCUGGAGCUUCUUCUUCCCAGGAAGGACAUCUUCCUGAUAUGCCAGCGUGACUCCUUUGGGCUCGAAGAUGCCUCUUCAUCAGAUGGGUCUAGGGAUUCAGAUGCUACGUCACUGCUGAACCCUGGUCCCCUCCGCAGAGGGCAAUGACUGCUCCUCUGGGG